ensembl:snoRNA SNORD87 small nucleolar RNA, C/D box 87
ACUGGUACUAUGAUGACUUAAUUCUACCUUUUUGCCGUUUACCCAACUGAAUUUGACUUUGAUGUAAAUCUAAAGACUGAGUACCAGU